GAACGCUGGCGGCAGGCCUAACACAUGCAAGUCGAACGGUAACAGGAAGCAGCUUGCUGCUUYGCUGACGAGUGGCGGACGGGUGAGUAAUGUCUGGGAAACUGCCUGAUGGAGGGGGAUAACUACUGGAAACGGUGGCUAAUACCGCAUAACGUCGCAAGACCAAAGAGGGGGACCUUCGGGCCUCUUGCCAUCAGAUGUGCCCAGAUGGGAUUAGCUAGUUGGUGAGGUAACGGCUCACCAAGGCGACGAUCCCUAGCUGGUCUGAGAGGAUGACCAGCCACACUGGAACUGAGACACGGUCCAGACUCCUACGGGAGGCAGCAGUGGGGAAUAUUGCACAAUGGGCGCAAGCCUGAUGCAGCCAUGCCGCGUGUAUGAAGAAGGCCUUCGGGUUGUAAAGUACUUUCAGCGGGGAGGAAGGUGUUGUGGUUAAUAACCGCAGCAAUUGACGUUACCCGCAGAAGAAGCACCGGCUAACUCC
rnacentral:rRNA from 1 species